rnacentral:rRNA from 1 species
GCCUGCGACCAAAUCACAAAUGAAUGUGCCCGAUCUCAUUCGAUCUCAGAAGCUAAGCAUUGUUGAGCCUGGUUAGUACUACGACGGUAGACUGCAUGGUUGGCUUGGGCUGCGAGGUA